AGACAGGCCUUCAGUCCUGAGGAUCUCACCGCAAGGGUAUGCCUCUCCUCCUACCUACUGCACAAACCAGGCUCUUGGCAGCUACAUGUUCCAGCAGAAGAGUGGACGGUGCAUUCCCAUCUUAUUCAGAGUGUAAUGACUAUGGCACUUCUGGGCUUACUUACAAUGGAGACAGGACUACUUUGGAGGCCCAAAAGUGACAAAAAUGACUCUAAUGAUCCUUUGGCAAGAUGCUGCGAAUUCACAGGAGGUGGAAUUUGGAGCCAUAAGGCAGCCAAGGGAGGCUUCUUUCCAAGCUGAGCCAGCUGCUAGCGCAGAGAGGAAGGCACUGGCUCUUCUAAAGGCCAACAGUAUCAAGCUUGCAAGUUACAGAGGACCGAAGCUAGUGCUGAGCAGAAGUGCUUCAUUCUGAAAGCUUACCUAACUUUUACCUCUCUCUGUUACAUUCACUUUCUGACAUGCAGAGAUACCUGUCCCCAAAGGUGGCUUAUAAGAAAAAUGAAGUAAUAAUGAAAAAGCUGUUCUUUUUAAAAAUUACCUCUUAAAAAUGUUGGCCCAGUAUUUUUCUGACAGACCUGAAAGGGUUUCAAGUGGGUUGGUCAAAUAUCAUGUGGCAGCAGUUCACCCUCUCAGGUUGGCAGCAGCUGUUGCAUUAACAAGUGAGGACAACCUGUGAUUAGUGGCUGCAGGACUGUACUUUACCCAGGGAAUUGAUAACCACCUUCAAUUGCUGACAGCAGUUCAUUUUCUCCAAGGUGAAGGAGUGAAUAUGAGCUCUUGUAUCUGAUUAUAAGUUCUUCUCUCCUGGCUGAUCUGCAAGAGCUGAGCUGCUGGAAAACCUAAAGAGAAGUGAGAUAAGCCAAGCAGAGGUGAAAUUUACAGGUUGCAUAACCCAGCUCUAGAUAUUUCUAGACUCUCUGAAUUCAUAUACUCCAUUUUCUGCAUCGGUGCUGAGACAGAUAUACGAAAAGAUUUUUUCCUUCCAAUUUUCUUUGGUCAUAGAAGAACUCAGAGCAUAUUUAUUGGUUAUGUAAAGAGUAGCAAAACAGAAUAAGUAAUGACACAGACAGGAAGCCUUGGUUAUUUCUUACAGCUUUACAUUUUUUAUUUACUGAGGACAUGUAGAAGUAAUCAGAUAAUGAGCAUUUGAUCACAUCUUCUGUCCUGAAUAAAGCUUUGCUUCUACAAGCACAGAAUAGUUUAAGACUCUGCAUGUCUCACUUGUGGAUGAUAAUUAGAUCUUUAAGCAUUUAAUUGGACUUGCACAUAAUUACAGGUAGUAAAGAAAGCGUUUGAAAAAUGAAUUUCCAUUUCCAAAUAAGUUUGCCAGAUGGUUUUAUUUUCAUAUUUAAAAUAAGUGUACACUGUCUGGGCAAAUGUCUCGUCUUUUUCCUGAGAAGUAGAACUAGACGUGAAAGGGUAGUACCUUCUAAUUUCUUUAGUCUAUAGUCAUUUGCUCAGGCUAUCAAUGAUGGAUCCAGUUAACAAUAGAUGUGCAGGUGUAUUUUAUCUAUGUCCCACUCAAAUAUCCUUUUUACAUGGAAAGACCAAUGACUGGUUCAUUUAAUAUAGUAACAAGUAACUGUUCAAUAUAGUCAUUAUUAUCAUAGAAAAUUGUAACUUUUGAUCAACAGCAACAAAUCUAUAACUCCUCUUGAGCUGGCAAUCUGCAGGGAACAAUUUUCAUUCCAUUAUCAACUGCAGUAGUAGUAUUGUGUUAUUAAGUACUUUUGUUCAGUAUUUUGUUUUGGCUGAAUAUAAUAAUAAAACGUAUGUGUAAGAAGU
rnacentral:lncRNA from 7 species